rnacentral:rRNA from 1 species
UCGAGAAUCAUUCGCAAUGGGCGAAAGCCUGACCCAGCAACGCCGCGUGAAGGAUGAAGUAUUUCGGUAUGUAAACUUCGAAAGAAUAGGAAGAAUAAAUGACGGUACUAUUUAUAAGGUCCGGCUAACUACGUGCCAGCAGCCGCGGUAAUACGUAGGGACCAAGCGUUGUUCGGAUUUACUGGGCGUAAAGGGCGCGUAGGCGGUUUGUCAAGUCAGUUGUGAAAUCUCCGAGCUUAACUCGGAACGGUCAACUGAUACUGUCAAACUAGAGUACAGAAGGGGCAAUCGGAAUUCUUGGUGUAGCGGUGAAAUGCGUAGAUAUCAAGAGGAACACCUGAGGCGAAGGCGGCUCUCUGGACUCAAACUGACGCUGAGGCACGAAAGCGUGGGUAGCGAACAGGAUUAGAUACCCCCGUAGUCCCUGAGCGGGCUGGCAAGGCGCAU